CUUCUUCCUCCUUCUCCUUCUCCUUCUUCUUUUCUUCUUCUUCUCAACUUCCUUCUCCUUCUCCUUCCUCCUCCUCCUCCUUCUUUUACUUCUUCUUCUCUUUCUCUUAUUCUACGUAGCUUAGACUCAUCCAACAAAGCCUAAAUUGGCGAAUUAUCCAUCUAAAUGACAUAAUUAGCUUAGUUAGCUCCUAAAUGGUCUAUUUAAUAGAAAAUGACCUAUACUUAGC
rnacentral:lncRNA from 1 species